rnacentral:rRNA from 1 species
GCUGGCGGCGUGCUUAACACAUGCAAGUCGAGUGCGCAGUCUUCUGUAGCAAUACAGGAGAUCGGCGCACGGCGCACGGGUGCGUAACACGUGGGUAACCUGCCCUCCAAAGGGGGAUAACCCCGCGAAAGCGGGGCUAAUACCGCAUGACAUUCCGGUGACCUCGGUCGCUGGAAUCAAAGCCCGCAAGGGCGUUGGGGGAGGGGCCCGCGGCCGAUUAGCUUGUUGGCGAGGUAACGGCUCACCAAGGCUUUGAUCGGUAGCCGGUCUGAGAGGAUGGCCGGCCACACUGGAACUGAGACACGGUCCAGACUCCUACGGGAGGCAGCAGUGGGGAAUCUUGCGCAAUGGGCGAAAGCCUGACGCAGCGACGCCGCGUGGGGGAUGAAGCUUUUCGGAGUGUAAACCCCUUUCGACCCGGACGAAACGCCCGCAAGGGCUUGACGGUACGGGUAUAAGAAGCCCCGGCUAACUACGUGCCAGCAGCCGCGGUAAGACGUAGGGGGCCAGCGUUGCUCGGAAUUACUGGGCGUAAAGGGUUCGUAGGCGGUGCGGUAAGUCGGAAGUGAAAUCUCUGGGCUUAACUCA